GGCCGUGUAGCUCAGUGGUAGAGCGCCCGCCUGGAGCGGGAGGACGCGGGUUCGAAUCCCGUCAUGGUCG
rnacentral:tRNA from 1 species